rnacentral:rRNA from 1 species
CCUACGGGAGGCAGCAGUGAGGAAUAUUGCGCAAUGGGGGAAACCCUGACGCAGCAACGCCGCGUGGGUGAAGAAGGCCUUCGGGUCGUAAAGCCCUUUCGGACGGGACGAACGCUCCGCGGUGACAACCCGCGGAGCCUGACGGUACCGUAAGAAGAAGCACCGGCUAACUCCGUGCCAGCAGCCGCGGUAAUACGGAGGGUGCAAGCGUUGUUCGGAAUUACUGGGCGUAAAGCGCGUGUAGGCGGCCUUGCAAGCCAGACGUGAAAGCCCUCGGCUU